rnacentral:tRNA from 1 species
ACGGGUAUAGCUUAAUGGAUAGAGCACUGGUCUACGAAAUCAGGUUCGUAUGGGUUCGACUCCCUUUAUCCGUA